rnacentral:rRNA from 1 species
UAAAACUUUUAACAACGGAUCUCUUGGUUCUGGCAUCGAUGAAGAACGCAGCGAAAUGCGAUAAGUAAUGUGAAUUGCAAAAUUCAGUGAAUCAUCGAAUCUUUGAACGCACAUUGCGCCCCCUGGUAUUCCGGGGGGCAUGCCUGUUCGAGCGUCA